rnacentral:rRNA from 1 species
AUUGAACGCUGGCGGCAGGCCUAACACAUGCAAGUCGAACGAGUGGCGGACGGGUGUGUCAUGUCUGUGAACCGGCCUGAUGGAGGGGGAUACUUACUGUAAACGUUACUUAUAACCGCUUACCUUCACUUGUGCCUAGAUGGGCUUAGCAAGUGGGUGGGGUAACGGCUCACCAAGGCGACGAUCUCUAGCAGGUCUGAGAGGAGGAUCAGCCACACUGGAACUGAGACACGGUCCAGACUCCUACGGGAGUCAGCAGUGGGGAAUAUUGCACAAUGGGCGCAAGCCUGAUGCAGCCAUGCCGCGUGUAUGAAGAAGGCCUUCGGGUUGUAAAGUACUUUCAGCGAGGAGGCGGUACCCGCAGAAGAAGCACCGGCUAACUCCGUGCCAGCAGCCGCGGUAAUUC